CUGGCUCAGGAUGAACGCUAGCUACAGGCUUAACACAUGCAAGUCGAGGGGCAGCAUGUGGUUGCUUGCAACCAAUGAUGGCGACCGGCGCACGGGUGAGUAACGCGUAUCCAACCUUCCCCUUAGUAGAGGAUAGCCCGGCGAAAGUCGGAUUAAUACUCUAUGUUCUUCAAUGCGGACAUCUAAGUUGAAGCAAAGAUUUAUCGCUAAGGGAUGGGGAUGCGUCUGAUUAGGUUGCAGGCGGGGUAACGGCCCACCUGGCCUACGAUCAGUAGGGGUUCUGAGAGGAAGGUCCCCCACACUGGUACUGAGACACGGACCAGACUCCUACGGGAGGCAGCAGUGAGGAAUAUUGGUCAAUGGGCGCGAGCCUGAACCAGCCAAGUAGCGUGCAGGAACCGACUGCCCUAUGGGUUGUAAACUGCUUUUAUCAGGGAAUAAAGUGAGGCACGCGUGCCUUUUUGUAUGUACCUGAUGAAUAAGGACCGGCUAAUUCCGUGCCAGCAGCUGC
rnacentral:rRNA from 1 species